rnacentral:rRNA from 1 species
GAUGAACGCUGGCGGCGUGCUUAACACAUGCAAGUCGAACGGUGAAGGCGGAGCUUGCUCUGCUGGAUCAGUGGCGAACGGGUGAGUAACACGUGAGCAAUCUGCCCCUGACUCUGGGUUAAGCGCUGGAAACGGCGUCUAAUACUGGAUACGAGCUGCGAAGGCAUCUUCAGCAGCUGGAAAGAAUUUCGGUCAGGGAUGAGCUCGCGGCCUAUCAGCUUGUUGGUGAGGUAAUGGCUCACCAAGGCGUCGACGGGUAGCCGGCCUGAGAGGGUGACCGGCCACACUGGGACUGAGACACGGCCCAGACUCCUACGGGAGGCAGCAGUGGGGAAUAUUGCACAAUGGGCGAAAGCCUGAUGCAGCAACGCCGCGUGAGGGACGACGGCCUUCGGGUUGUAAACCUCUUUUAGCAGGGAAGAAGCGAAAGUGACGGUACCUGCAGAAAAAGCGCCGGCUAACUACGUG